GACGAACGCUGGCGGCAUGCCUAAUACAUGCAAGUCGAGCGAACAGAUGAAGUGCUUGCACUUCUGACGUUAGCGGCGAACGGGUGAGUAACACGUAAGGAAUCUACCUAUAAGCGGGGGAUAACAUUCGGAAACGGGUGCUAAUACCGCAUAAUAUCUUCUUCCGCAUGGAAGAAGAUUGAAAGACGGCUCGGCUGUCACUUAUAGAUGACCUUGCGGUGCAUUCGUUAGUUGGUGGGGUAACGGCCUACCAAGACGGUGAUGCAUAGCUGACCUGAGAGGGUGAUCGGCCACAUUGGGACUGAGCCACGGCGCAAACUCCUACGGGAGGCAGCAGUAGGGAAUCUUCCGCAAUGAGCGAAAGCCUGACGGAGCAAUGCCGCGUGAGUGAAGAAGGCCUUCGGGUCGUAAAACUCUGUUAUAAGAGAAGAACAAAUUGUAGAGUAACUGCUACAGUCUUGACGGUAUCUUAUCAGAAAGCCACGGCUAACUACGUGCCAGCCGCCGCAGUAA
rnacentral:rRNA from 1 species